GACGAACCGUGCGAACGUUAUUCGGAAUCACUGGGCUUAAAGCGCGUGUAGGCGGCCCGGCCCGUCCGUUGCUGAAAGCCCCCGGCUCAACCGGGGAAGGGGCGCGGAUACGACCGGGCUGGAGGGGGGUAGGGGGAUCGGGAACUUCCGGUGGAGCGGUGAAAUGCGUUGAGAUCGGAAGGAACGCCCGUGGCGAAAGCGCGGUCCUGGACCCCACCUGACGCUGAGACGCGAAAGCCAGGGGAGCGAACGGG
rnacentral:rRNA from 1 species